rnacentral:rRNA from 1 species
GACGAACGCUGGCGGCGUGCUUAACACAUGCAAGUCGAACGGAAAGGCCCUGCUUUUGUGGGGUGCUCGAGUGGCGAACGGGUGAGUAACACGUGAGUAACCUGCCCUUGACUUUGGGAUAACUUCAGGAAACUGGGGCUAAUACCGGAUAGGAGCUCCUGCUGCAUGGUGGGGGUUGGAAAGUUUCGGCGGUUGGGGAUGGACUCGCGGGUUAUCAGCUUGUUGGUGGGGUAGUGGCUUACCAAGGCUUUGACGGGUAGCCGGCCUGAGAGGGUGACCGGGCACAUUGGGACUGAGAUACGCACCAGACUCGUACGGGACGCAGCAGUGGGGAAUAUUGCACAAUGGGCGGAAGCCUGAUGCAGCAACGCCGCGUGCGGGAUGACCGCCUUCGGGUUGUAAACCGCUUUCGCCUGUGACGAAGCGUGAGUGACGGUAAUGGGUAAAGAAGCACCGGCUAACUACGUG